rnacentral:rRNA from 1 species
AGAGUUUGAUCAUGGCUCAGGAUGAACGCUGGCGGCGUGCCUAACACAUGCAAGUCGAACGAAGCGCUUAACCGGAAUUUUUCGGAAGGAAGGUUUUGCGACUGAGUGGCGGACGGGUGAGUAACGCGUGGGCAACCUGCCCUGUACCGGGGGAUAACAGCCGGAAACGGCUGCUAAUACCGCAUAAGCGCACGGUACCGCAUGGUACCGUGUGAAAAACCCAGGUGGUACAGGAUGGGCCCGCGUCUGAUUAGCCGGUUGGCGGGGUAACGGCCCACCAAGGCAGCGAUCAGUAGCCGGCCUGAGAGGGCGGACGGCCACAUUGGGACUGAGACACGGCCCAGACUCCUGCGGGAGGCAGCAGUGGGGAAUAUUGCACAAUGGGGGAAACCCUGAUGCAGCGACGCCGCGUGAGCGAGGAAGUAUUUCGGUAUGUAAAGCUCUGUCAGCAGGGAAGAAGAAAGUGACGGUACCUGACCAAGAAGCACCGGCUAAAUACGUGCCAGCAGCCGCGGUAAUACGUAUGGUGCAAGCGUUAUCCGGAUUUACUGGGUGUAAAGGGAGCGCAGGCGGUACGGCAAGUCUGGUGUGAAAGCCCGGGGCCCAACCCCGGUACUGCACUGGAAACUGCCGGACUAGAGUGCCGGAGGGGUAAGCGGAAUUCCUAGUGUAGCGGUGAAAUGCGUAGAUAUUAGGAGGAACACCAGUGGCGAAGGCGGCUUACUGGACGGUAACUGACGCUGAGGCUCGAAAGCGUGGGGAGCAAACAGGAUUAGAUACCCUGGUAGUCCACGCCGUAA